rnacentral:tRNA from 1 species
GUCCUCGUAGCUCAACGGAUAGAGCACGCGCGUCCUAAGCGUGUGAUGGGGGUCCGAUUCCCUCCGGGGACA